rnacentral:rRNA from 1 species
AUUGAACGCUGGCGGCAUGCCUUACACAUGCAAGUCGAACGGCAGCACGGGAGCUUGCUCCUGGUGGCGAGUGGCGAACGGGUGAGUAAUACAUCGGAACGUACCCUGAAGUGGGGGAUAACGUAGCGAAAGUUACGCUAAUACCGCAUAUUCUGUGAGCAGGAAAGAGGGGGAUCGCAAGACCUCUUGCUUUAGGAGCGGCCGAUGUCGGAUUAGCUAGUUGGUGAGGUAAAGGCUCACCAAGGCGACGAUCCGUAGCGGGUCUGAGGAGA